GGUGAACGCUGGCGGCGCGCCUAACACAUGCAAGUCGAACGGCACCCCUCCUCGGAGGGAAGCGAGUGGCGAACGGCUGAGUAACACGUGGAGAACCUGCCCCCUCCCCCGGGAUAGCCGCCCGAAAGGACGGGUAAUACCGGAUACCCCGGGGUGCCGCAUGGCACCCCGGCUAAAGCCCCGACGGGAGGGGAUGGCUCCGCGGCCCAUCAGGUAGACGGCGGGGUGACGGCCCACCGUGCCGACAACGGGUAGCCGGGUUGAGAGACCGACCGGCCAGAUUGGGACUGAGACACGGCCCAGACUCCUACGGGAGGCAGCAGUGGGGAAUCUUGCGCAAUGGGGGGAACCCUGACGCAGCGACGCCGCGUGCGGGACGGAGGCCUUCGGGUCGUAAACCGCUUUCAGCAGGGAAGAGUCAAGACUGUACCUGCAGAAGAAGCCCCGGCUAACUACGUG
rnacentral:rRNA from 1 species